AGACACAACCCAUUGGCACGGCUGCUCAGAGCCAAGAUGACAAAGAUUACACUGAACCACCACCGGCGCCACUUUUCGAGCCGACUGAGCUUACUUCAUGGUCUUUUUACAGAGCUGGUAUUGCAGAGUUUAUAGCCACUUUCUUGUUCUUGUACAUAUCAGUUUUGACAGUUAUGGGCGUGGUUAAAGCUCCUACCAAGUGUUCAACUGUGGGUAUUCAAGGAAUUGCUUGGGCUUUUGGUGGAAUGAUUUUCGCUCUUGUAUACUGUACUGCUGGUAUUUCAGGUUCGUCCACUUUUGCCGUUUGGUCAACGUUUUUGCUUACAGAAAACAAAAUUUGGUAAUAACUCUUUUUUUUCUGUUUGUGCAGGAGGACACAUAAAUCCGGCGGUGACCUUCGGGCUGUUCUUGGCAAGAAAAUUGUCCUUGACAAGGGCUAUAUACUACAUGGUUAUGCAGUGCCUUGGAGCUAUCUGCGGUGCUGGAGUUGUGAAAGGAUUUGAAGGGCGUAAACAAUAUACUUUGUUGGGUGGUGGUGCUAACAGUGUUGCUCCUGGUUACACCAAAGGUGAUGGCCUUGGCGCUGAGAUUGUCGGUACCUUCGUCCUUGUCUACACUGUCUUCUCUGCUACUGAUGCCAAACGUAAUGCCAGAGACUCCCAUGUUCCUGUAAGUCCCUUAUGUUUAACCUUAUGUUUAACUUCUUCCACAUCAAUUCCUAUGUUUUUAAUACAUGUAUUGAUGAUUAUGUAAAUUGUGGUCAGAUUUUGGCACCAUUGCCAAUUGGGUUCGCCGUGUUCUUGGUGCACUUGGCUACAAUCCCAAUCACAGGAACUGGUAUCAACCCAGCUCGUAGUCUUGGUGCAGCAAUCAUCUUCAACAAGGACCAGGGCUGGGAUGACCAUGUAAGUCUUUCUGUUUAAACCCUAGUAAUUACAGAGCCCAUUGUUGAGUUCUAUUAAUAUUGUUAAUUAUUAAUAUGCUUGUUGAUCGAGUGAUCGAUGGAUUUGUUUGAUUUUGCAGUGG
rnacentral:lncRNA from 1 species